GGGGAUGUUAUGGAUUCGACCGACAGAGGAGUUGGCCGGACUACAUGCCGAAGGCUCGUCUUCGUUAAAACGGAAAAUAAAUUUAAACGCUGAAAAUAACAAUUUUGAGCUAGCUGCCGCAUAGGCAGCCGUCGGCUUCGUUGCCUACGGACGAAUAACUGGCGUGAUUUAGUAGGGAACCGCAUGUGCAAGUUGCUUCGAUGCACAGACGGAAUUAGGAGCUUGGCAGAUUCAAAGCCUGUUGGCCAGCGUUGAUGAUGCGACUUUAAAAGACCAAAUAAGCAUUGUAAACGUCUUUCUGGUUUCCUGGCGACACAGGGGUUCGAUUCCCCUCAUCUCCACCA
rnacentral:tmRNA from 1 species